rnacentral:tRNA from 1 species
GUUUUUAUAGUGUAAAAAACACGUUGCAUUUUCGUUGCAAAACUGAAAUAUAUAAAUUUCUAAAAAUU